AAAUCGGGUCCUGCGCAAUGAAAACCCAUGAACCCCGUCAGGUUCGGAAGAAAGCAGCGGUAAGUGGGCACUUUCAUGUGCCGCGGAAAUGCCUGGUUUGAGU
rnacentral:SRP_RNA from 1 species